rnacentral:rRNA from 1 species
CCUACGGGAGGCAGCAGUGAGGAAUAUUGGUCAAUGGACGAGAGUCUGAACCAGCCAAGUAGCGUGAAGGAUGACUGCCCUAUGGGUUGUAAACUUCUUUUAUAUGGGAAUAAAAUGUUCCACGUGUGGGAUUUUGUAUGUACCAUAUGAAUAAGGAUCGGCUAACUCCGUGCCAGCAGCCGCGGUAAUACGGAGGAUCCGAGCGUUAUCCGGAUUUAUUGGGUUUAAAGGGAGCGUAGGUGGAUUGUUAAGUCAGUUGUGAAAGUUUGCGGCUCAACCGUAAAAUUGCAGUUGAAACUGGCAGGCUUGAGGACAGUAGAGGUGGGCGGAAUUCGUGGUGUAGCGGUGAAAUGCUUAGAUAUCACGAAGAACUCCGAUUGCGAAGGCAGCUCACUGGACUGCAACUGACACUGAGGCUCGAAAGUGUGGGUAUCAAACAGGAUUAGAUACCCCAGUAGUC